GACGAACGCUGGCGGCGUGCUUAACACAUGCAAGUCGAACGAUGAAGGAGAGCUUGCUCUCCGGAUUAGUGGCGAACGGGUGAGUAACACGUGACUAACCUGCCUCUUUCUCUGGGAUAGCGCUCCGAAAGGAGUGCUAAUACCGGAUACGAACUCUGAACACAUGUUCGGAGUUGGAAAGUUUUUCGGAAAGGGAUGGAGUCGCGGCCUAUCAGCUUGUUGGUGAGGUGACGGCUCACCAAGGCGACGACGGGUAGCUGGCCUGAGAGGGCGACCGGCCACACUGGGACUGAGACACGGCCCAGACUCCUACGGGAGGCAGCAGUGGGGAAUAUUGCACAAUGGGCGAAAGCCUGAUGCAGCGACGCCGCGUGAGGGAUGAAGGUCUUCGGAUUGUAAACCUCUUUCAGUAGGGACGAAGCGAAAGUGACGGUACCUAAAGAAGAAGCACCGGCUAACUACGUGCCAGCAGCCGCCGUAA
rnacentral:rRNA from 1 species